GAAGACAAAUCGACAAACGUGAGCCAUUACUUCUUGCACGCGAAACAAAUGAAAUCCAACCUCGCGUCAAUGGCAUACGAUUUCGAAACGCAAUUUCCCGACUGCCCAGCCAUUUCUACUUACCUUUCGACCUAUGGAUGACGAAAUAAUUGCUUUGAAAAAGCAACAGGCACUUGAAGGGGCCGGUCAAGCUUGGGUAGAAUGUCAACAGCAUGCUCAAUUGUCUCAAAGAGCUAGCGAAAUUCAUGUAGCGGCAAAGGAAACUGUGUGUAACCUUGCUAAGCCAUGCAACUAUUAAAGGAAGUCACGGAUGCAGAUAAUCAAAAACCAGAAUUUGACAGAGAACAUUAUAGGAGGACACUGAACAUGAAGAUUAUUAGAAUUAGAAUAAAGAUAUAGUCGCUCAAUAAUGAGAGAAAGAAAGAAAGGGUUUUGAAUGUUUAUAUAAAGUAAAACAAGAUGCAAAAUCAAAUUAUGCCAUGAAUCUCUGCAGACUAGAAGAAAUUAGUAAUCAAGUACAUUAACAACAUUGAAAGUAUGGCAUUUCUAUCAAAUAAUAAUUUACAGUAACUUCUGUUUAAUUAAAAAUAACUUCUGAUGCAUAAAUAACCCCUAUAAUGUUGUGUAUAUGUUUUAGAAUAAUGUUGUUCAAAUUAUUACAUAUUACUCAUCAAUAUAAUUUAUUUAUAAAACAUGCUAUCAAGAU